UUCCUACGGGGGGCAGCAGUGAGGAAUAUUGGUCAAUGGGAGAGAUCCUGAACCAGCCAAGCCGCGUGAGGGAAGACGGCCCUAUGGGUUGUAAACCUCUUUUGUCGGAGAACAAAACCCGGGACGUGUCCCGGACUGCGUGUAUCCGAAGAAAAAGCAUCGGCUAACUCCGUGCCAGCAGCCGCGGUAAUACGGAGGAUGCGAGCGUUAUCCGGAUUUAUUGGGUUUAAAGGGUGCGUAGGCGGGACGGUAAGUCAGCGGUAAAAAUGCGGAGCUCAACUCCGUCGAGCCGUUGAAACUGCCGU
rnacentral:rRNA from 1 species